rnacentral:rRNA from 1 species
CCUACGUGCGGCAGCAGUGGGGAAUAUUGGACAAUGGGCGAAAGCCUGAUCCAGCCAUGCCGCGUGUGUGAAGAAGGCCUUCGGGUUGUAAAGCACUUUCAGUGGGGAAGAAAGCCUUGGGGCUAAUACCCUCGAGGAAGGACAUCACCCACAGAAGAAGCACCGGCUAACUCCGUGCCAGCAGCCGCGGUAAUACGGAGGGUGCGAGCGUUAAUCGGAAUUACUGGGCGUAAAGCGCGCGUAGGCGGUCUGAUAAGCCGGUUGUGAAAGCCCCGGGCUCAACCUGGGAACGGCAUCCGGAACUGGCAGGCUAGAGUGCAGGAGAGGAUGGUAGAAUUCCCGGUGUAGCGGUGAAAUGCGUAGAGAUCGGGAGGAAUACCAGUGGCGAAGGCGGCCAUCUGGACUGACACUGACGCUGAGGUGCGAAAGCGUGGGUAGCAAACAGGAUUAGAUACCCCGGUAGUC